GAACUACUCCCUCGGUCCGAAAAUACUUGUCGGUGAAAUGAAUGUAUCUAGACGUAUUUUAGUUCAUACAUCAAUUUUUAUCCAUUUCUCCGACAAGUAUUUCCGGACGGAGGGAGUAGUAU
rfam:Triticum urartu cultivar G1812 contig157099, whole genome shotgun sequence.